CACGAAGUAAUCCCUCUUUGAGCGGCGACUGGCAUCUGAGAUUUUGGGUUAGUGUUUGAAGGAUAGAUUUAUUUAAAUGUCGCACAUAGUUCUUCUUGGGAGCAAAGAUUGCAGUUUCCAGGAUUUUAUCUGUGCGUAUAGCAAUAUCCUUUCUGCUUGAGCCUUCUCCUUUUUUUGUCUUCAUGGAGAUGUGCUCCAAUGUUACUGGAUCACACUUGUUUAUGUUUCUGCAUCAUAUGUUUUUGUUUUUAAUUUUGGGGUACUAUUGUCUUAAUGUGUUAACAAAAUAAACACAGA
rnacentral:misc_RNA from 1 species